AAGAGAACAGGAGGAAUUGCGUGAGAGAGGAGGUGAUUUUAUCUCCAUUUUACUGCCAGGUCACUUUCCCAAGGUUGUAUAUGGGUUUAAAGCAUAAAACUAGAUCUUCCAAGAUUCACUCCAAUACCUUAACCACAUGAAUAUCUCAAAGUAGUUUGAAAUUGCAGGGAUUUUCUUCUGGCAGGAGUUGCAUGUGCACUCAGAUCAUUUUGUCAGGUAUCGAACAGAAUUCCCCCAUUUUGUAGAGACCAUAAUAUCUCCAAAGAAACGAUGGAAACCUGUGCAAAGAGCUGUGCUUUGGAGGACGCAGGAAUGCCAGCAUCUCUCUGUGUUUAAACCUGGUGGUUAUAGUCAGUCCUUCAAACUUUUAAACUUGUUCCAAAUUUUCAGAACUGCACAGCACGCAACUGAGAGAAUGAUUUGACCCCAAAGAUCAGGAUGUUGUAAGUAUUGUUCAAGAAAAAUCCAGUUGAAAAAGAUUCUAAAAAAGUAUCAGGGACACUUUUAAGUCUUCCUUUAAAAAUAAAAAUCAUAAAACUACCUUUGUUGACUCCUGCUGUUAAUGUGCUUUUAUUCAGGCAUUUAGAAACAAUACUGCUUCACAGAGUAGACAGCCACGGUCAAGGGCUGUUUUCUCAUCCGUGGUCCCUCAUUAAGUACUGUGAGCUUGAGAACUAAUAAAGUGGAUGCUGUACAUGCACAUUAGGUAAAGAAUACAUGCUCCUGGCUGCAAAUGAAGAGAGGAUAGUUGAAAUUGCAGUAGGUAAUUCUAAUCUUUUGAAAAAUUUACUUAGGUAAGUUUAAUUAAGGCUUGAAAUGAACAUUCAAUUUGCCUAUAUCAUUACUAUACAAAGUCACCUCACAGAUAUUUAUCUGCUCCAUUCAGUAAAACAUCAAUGCCUAUAAUCAUUUCUUGGAGCUCUUUUCAUACAAUUCAAGUGCACUAUGGAAGAGCAAUUUCCUUAUAGCUGAGCAUAGUCUGAUUAAAUUGUUUAAGCAAUAGUCCUGAUGAGCACUGAAGUCAACAGAUAGACCAGACAAAGGCUCCUCCUCAGAAGCACAACUGAGAACAAGUGCAGUUCCUACAGUGGACAAAGCUGAUACUCAUUCCACUUCAAUCAGAGAAGAUCAAGUCCACCUUUCUCCCUACCUGUGAUGAACAUGUACAGCAUCAUCCCCAGAAAUACACAUACAUGAGACUUCUGUAAAACCUUGUUGACUGCCCUUAUCCUUAAGAUGCACCAAAAAUUAUGAUACUAAUUAAGCUGUCUAAAAAUUUUUUUCAGGAUGGCUACAGAUCCUAGCAACAGAAGAAGUACCACAGAACACAGUCUCUAACUUAACGAAAAAAAGACAGAAGACCAGUCCUGACCUCUUUACGCAUGGUACUUGACAAGCACAGUGUGAGUCAAGAGACCCAUCCUCACUGAAAAGCUCAACAACACACUAAUAUGCAGGAGUUAUGUAAGUAUGAAGUACACAGUGCUGAAGAAUGGAACAAACUGAACAGGCUAUAAAACUGCAUCUAUUUCCUUCUUAUUGUUUGUUCUGGAAUUGCAGACACAAUCUGUGGCUAUUUUUCACCUCCUUCUGUUUCCUCAAACUGACAGCAUUUUCUCAGAGCAUGGGACCUUUCAAGACAUCUCCAAAAGGACCGUUGCAAGGGCAAUGCUACAAAUUCCACUUGCGAAACAAAAAGUCACAGCUUGGCAUGUUCUUCCAGCACUUUCAACAUGGACACAGGCCUGAAUUAACACAUGACCCAUAAUUAGCACUUUCCAGUAGCUGCCUAAAUGAAUGCUGUUCAAUGGCUUCUACACAGAUGCCUCUCAGCUUCUGGGAGAUACAGAGCCAUGAAAAGUAUACAGCACAUUUGAUCCUGCUGUAUUAUUUGAAAAGAAAACCACAAGCCUUAUCCUGCUUAUCCUGAAGAGUUCAACUAAAGCAUUAAGAAAUUCUGAUAUCAGAAAGAAUGCAAUUGCCAUUAUCCUGAACAUAAAUUAUUUAUCCAUCUCUGCUUGCUCAUAGGAUCCUUUCAACCAAAAGGACAUCAGUGCCCUCAGAAAACUUAAUCAGCUAUGAGCCAUAAUAUGCUGUCUUACAGAGAGUGAACAAAAAACACGAAGAAAAGCAUGAGUGACUGUGAGCUGCAAGACACCACAACGUUGGUGCUGUAGGCAAAACGAGCUGCUUCAUGUCACAGUUUGUAAAGUGUUUGCACAGGAUAAAAUUAUGCCAAAAAAGCAUACAGGAAAGUUUAUAUAGCACCACAAACAAGCACUGAGCAUCCUCUGAUAUGUGAUAUUUAUGGACAUAAAACAGCCAUGAGCUCUCAUUCAUCAGCAAUUAUUUCUAUACCUCCCUGUCAGAACUUCCUUGGAUCUGCUUCUAACACAUUGACUGCAAAGCGAUGCCAAGCACAGCCUCAGCUUACAUUCCCUUUUGAGUGCUAAGUUCAGGAGAAACAUCCUCACGCAUCAGAAGGAAUAAUUUGAUCUCUCCAGCCAAACCACGUAUUGCUCCCACCCUCUGACUGCUUUUGGUGCCAUUUUUCCUGCAGCCACACAUCCAGUUGGCAUUAUUUGCCCAGUGCUGAAUACCAGAGGAAUGAGACAUGCUCACUCAACUAUGUACAACACUGCACCAGCACGGAAACUUAAGUAGAAUAAAGUAUAGGAAAGUACCACUGAAAGCUUGAAAUGAGAUAGAAAACAAUAAGUGAUCCAGCUGUAAUUUGGUCUGGACGCAAGUUAUUAGAUCUAAGUGCAUAUUUACAUGUCUUUGAAAUGCUCCUGAAUACUUCCUCUGUCUGAAAGGAAAUUUUCAAAACGGUGAUGAAAAAAAUCUGGUUCAGAUCAUUUGUAUUGGUUUUAAAACCAGGCAUAACAUUGCAGCCGGUUCUUUCAUCCAGAAAAGGUGUAACUGUCAUAUCAAGUUAGAACUUCAGUCAUGUUACUUUAAAUCUGCAUUAGUAAAACCUGUAACAAAACAUGCCUCUGUUGUCUAUAUCUUGCAUCUGGAGCCAAAUUAUGUUACGGUCUGAUCUCUAAACCCAGUAUGGAAGCUAUAUGUGGUAUGUUCUGCACUUUGUAACAUGGUACAUGUGGACUUUUUACUGUAGUGAUAACACAGCUCUACAGCGCACCUGGUAAAAACAUUAUACGUUAAAAAUGACAGUCAAAAGAAGCUGGCGCAAAUACGCCAGAAUUACAUACAAGGUUGCAAUAUAAGACUAAAAACAAACCUACAUUUAUAGGUACUAUCUGGCACCUUACUUUUAGACAAAGGUCUGUAGCUUAUGGUGUCAUUUUAAAGGCUUAGCACUGGGUUUUUAAGCUGGAGAAAUGGUAUAAGACCAGUGUAUAAAGGAGGUGAAUUUCUGCUGACAUUAUGGAAGGUCUUAGUAGUCAGCCUCCUACCACUUGAUAAUAUUCUGCAGAUGGCGUGGAAUAACAUUAUCAAAAGGCAAUUCUUAUAUAUAUAACCCCUCAACUUGUAGCCAAACAUGACUUCAUGCAAGUAAUAAAUUCAGGAACUUGCGCAGCAUAUGGCAGAAGUUUUCAGAAACCAGGAGUACAAUGCAGAGGUAUCUGGAUGAGACCCUCACCUUGCCCCUUUGCACCAAAGAAAAGGAGCAAAAGAGACUUGCAGUGCUGCUGCAGAAGACGUACUGAGGAUUCCUUGCAAGCAUAAUGCCUGGCAGAGGUGUCAGGCCGGGUCUAAGAGUCUGUGUCAGGUUAGGUUAACAGUAAAAAAAGUAACGCUAAAUCUUAACAUUUGUAUCAAGUGAGGAAACACUCCUUGGAAUAAUGCUCCUUUCAAUAAUUUCUAUCAUUCCUGGGGGCUCUGAGCACUGGGCCAGCAGCAGCAGUGGGUCUGUCACUGUGCACAGUGCUGCAGCACCCAAGCAAUACUGAUAAAUCCCAACCUCCUCACUGAGAUAUUCUGUUUCUUAAAAUUCUUUCGGAAAUGCUAGUUUUAAAAAGGAAAUGUUUUCUGAUGAUGUGGCAGCUCACGUUUUGCAGCUGUUUGUGACAGGGAAACAACAAAGAAUGAAGAAAAAAGUGAAAACAACCUGGCUUUAUCAUUCAAGAGAGUAGAAAAAUGCACCUUAAAAAGUCAGCAAAAUGAUUGAGAAACAAGUUUUCUGACAUCAGUACUACAGGUACUGGCAGGUGCCAGACUGCCUGAAGCCACACAUCUGACCCACUCUUUCCUGGCUGAGUGGAGAGUCCAUUCUUUGUGCUCCAUUACAGCAGCUAUGCUACAGGGACAGCAGUGAAUGUCUUUAUUGACCCAGAGGGAAAACUGAGGAGUUUUCCUUUGACUUCCUGAUGUGGUCAAAUGAAGCAAGCACCAGGUAGUGAUGCCUACUAUCCCAUGUAGUUCCAGUGAGUGAUCUGGGACUCCCCCAAGAUCUGCUGAGCAGGAUCAGUGCCACACACAGUCAAAGGAGACAAGGCUUCCAACAUAACUUAACAGCUGAUGGCAUACUGAAAAUAUCUUAUUGGAACACAUGAGAAUGCAACUCUCCUGCUCCCCUGCACUCUCAUUUUAAAGCAGGAUUACUCUACUGAAGCAACUGCAGCUCUCUGGACACAGGACUAGAGUGAGUGAAUUAGAGCCUAUCCCCUGAGCUUUGAAGUACUUGUGAAAAAUUUUCAAUUAUUUCUAGUCUAAGUCUGUGCUGUAAUGACCUGUACAAAUCUCAGAGAGCAAAACAAUGAACUGCUCAUACAGAUGAUCCUCUUGCCAAACUGAGUGUGUGAUUGCUUCUGAAAAUCUGCUUGUACACCUUUAAUGCAUGGACUUAAUAUCUUAAGAAUAUAACUCCUUCAAAUGCCUUAAGUCUCAACUUUCCAUGUUGUCUUUCAAGAAUGGGAUGCAUUUGUAACAAUGUAGGCAGGCAAAUUCUUCUUUAGGCAUUAAACUGUGCUCCAAAGGGGAAUUAGAAAAUGAGAUUUACAAAAACAUGAGAUUUACAAAGUAUGCUUCCUAAUAUAUCAAAAGAGCAAGCAAGAAAAAAAAUACCGGUGCUGAUAUUCUCAACUACUCUUACUAAUAUGCUUUUAUGAACGGAGCAGCCACACUUCCUGCCUCAGUAGCCUCAAGAAGGAGAUGCAAUUCUACUGCCUGCAAAUAUAGAGGAGCUAGACAGGAGGGACUCAACUAUGCAAAAUGCUCAGUAGAACUUACAGCUGGGCACAGAGAAGAAAAUCAUAGUUAAAGUCAUAUUUAAGAUGAUCUUUAAAAGUCUGUCAAGGGCAGGCAGAACCAUUUGUAGAAACACACUUCAAUGACCAAAAAAUAAAAUAAAAUAAUCACUUAGCAAUUCUCUUGCAUGGGAACAACGCAAGUCUGAAAGCAAGGAGUCUGAUAUAACUCCUGAACAGAGCCAGAAAACAGAGAUGUGGGCUGAGCUGAACUGUAGAGCUAUAUGGCAGAAAAGAGAGAAGUGGUGAAAGAUUUCAGUUCUAGUCAGAAUUGAGUUUGGCAAAAAUUCUCAUCCAAUCCUGUUAAAUCAUAUGCUUGAAUGAGUUAUUCAGCCAGGCCAGUAACAUCUGUUCAGGAAAGGGGCCAACACUAAAAUGUGUUUUUUCAUCUCACAAAACAAAGCAUAAUCUAGGCUAUAAAUACACAUGGUUUUACUAUGCUGGAUAAUGUAUCUCAUGAAGAAAAAAAAACCCUUUAGUUCAGAAUUUUUUUUUCUAGAGACAUUACUCAUCUGAUCCUGGAUCCUUUACAUAUUCAGAAGUCUCUCUGCUUUCAGCAGGAUACUUAGGGCUGUAGAAAGUUUGGCCUGAGUAAGCGCAGCCAGACUCAGAAACGUUCUUGCCCCUUUACAAAAUGAGAGCUGCCCCAGCCCGAUCUCCACUUAUACUUUUUUAUGCUAUGUAUAAGAGCCAUCUCGUCCCUUUGACACAUCAUCACAGACAAAAAUUACCCCCUAAGCCCCACUGUCAUGGGAAAUUAAUUAAGAACUCUGAAAUAAAACAACAACAACAAAAAACACUAUGAAACAAGACAUUUUCCACUAUGAAUUUUGUUUGAGGUGCUCAACAAGGUCAGCAUACUUUAAUGAGCCACUUUCAGGCAGACAUACAUUCGCUUAAAACAAAGAUGACUGUGCCUCUAAAAACCUCUUUUAAGUGAUAGAUGACUGUCAGCUUUGCAAAAACUGAGCAUGCAGUGGCUUGAUAGCAUAGAAUGAAAGCAAUCUAGAAGUGCAAGU